rnacentral:rRNA from 1 species
GAUGAACGCUGGCGGCGUGCCUAAUACAUGCAAGUCGAGCGAACGGACGAGAAGCUUGCUUUUCUGAUGUUAGCGGCGGACGGGUGAGUAACACGUGGAUAACCUACCUAUAAGACUGGGAUAACUUCGGGAAACCGGAGCUAAUACCGGAUAAUAUUUUGAACCGCAUGGUUCAAAAGUGAAAGACGGUCUUGCUGUCACUUAUAGAUGGAUCCGCGCUGCAUUAGCUAGUUGGUAAGGUAACGGCUUACCAAGGCAACGAUGCAUAGCCGACCUGAGAGGGUGAUCGGCCACACUGGAACUGAGACACUGUCCAGACUCCUACGGGAGGCAGCAGUAGGGAAUCUUCCGCAAUGGGCGAAAGCCUGACGGAGCAACGCCGCGUGAGUGAUGAAGGUCUUCGGAUCGUAAAACUCUGUUAUUAGGGAAGAACAUAUGUGUAAGAAACUGUGCACAUCUUGACGGUACCUAAUCAGAAAGCCACGGCUAACUACGUG